rnacentral:rRNA from 1 species
UACGAAGGGGGCUAGCGUUGCUCGGAAUCACUGGGCGUAAAGGGUGCGUAGGCGGGUCUUUAAGUCAGGGGUGAAAUCCUGGAGCUCAACUCCGGAACUGCCUUUGAUACUGAAGAUCUUGAGUUCGGGAGAGGUGAGUGGAACUGCGAGUGUAGAGGUGAAAUUCGUAGAUAUUCGCAAGAACACCAGUGGCGAAGGCGGCUCACUGGCCCGAUACUGACGCUGAGGUGCGAAAGCGUGGGGAGCAAACAGG